AUUUCAGAAAAGAAUGGCUCGGCUGUGGUUUUCAAUUGCAGUUCUUUUUCUAGCAACGCAAGCUUCUUCAGGUAUAAUGACUUUGGAAUCUUAUAUGCAGCAGAUCUGCGACGAUGCUGAAAACUGUGUUGAAGAUGGGAAAGGUGAAGAAUUAUGCAAAAUAAGUUUUCUCCCAGCUACGGAAGAAGAACUAAAUUCAUAUUGCCCAUAUAUUAUUCGAAUCAUGUGGUGUGCAGCAAAAAGUAUUUUCAUUUGGACUCCACCAAGCAAUAGCAUUAAUAAUUUCAUAAAUUCAGGGUUCAACUUGUGGAAAGUUAUGUGCGAAAUCUGCACUAACGGUUCUCAGCUACGUAAAGAGUAUUUGGACGGCAUUUCAUGUUUUAAGGACUUAAUUCUUGAUGGCAGUACCUUUGACAACUUUUUAUUAAAUGGUCAACAAACCAUGAAGUCGCUGAACCCUUCAAUUGAGGGUGCUUCUAAGGAAGAGAUGCAACUGAAUUUGAUGUGCAUGAACCAGUAUAUGGGAUCCAUUUAAAUCUGUACCCUGUCAUGGGAACUAUAUAAAGUGGAGGUGCAUACACUAGAAUGAGUGAGUGAAUUCCUUCUUUGCAGUGCUGAUCUUCAACAAGAUCUCAGUAUGUACUUUGGGCUGAGGAUAACGAUUUGUACAAGCGUCUACUUUCUACGGUUUAGCCAGCCUGGUGGUUGAGACCGAAAAGUCUUGUGGAAAAACUGUUAGAAACAUGGCCAAUGAAAUGUUUCAGAGAGUUAAACCUUUGACAUUGCUAAACUGCAGUGAAACGAACAUGCAUG